GCUGCGGUGGCGUAGUGGUAGAGCACGCGUCCCCGGAUAGGAUGAGACGCAGGUUCGAUUUUCGCCUGAGGCC